rnacentral:rRNA from 1 species
AUUGAACGCUGGCGGCAGGCCUAACACAUGCAAGUCGAGCGGAUCGGCGGUCGGGUGAGUAAUGCCUAGGUAUCUGCCUGUUCGUGGGGGAUAACGUCCGGUAACGGGAGCUAAUACCGCAUACUAUCAGAUGAGCCUAGGUCGGGUUAGCUAGUGGGUGGGGUAAAGGCCUACCUAGGCGACGAUCCGUAACUGGUCUGAGAGGAUGAUCAGUCACACUGGAACUGAGACACGGUCCAGACUCCUACGGGAGGCAGCAGUGGGGAAUAUUGGACAAUGGGCGCAAGCCUGAUCCAGCCAUGCCGCGUGUGUGAAGAAGGUCUUCGGAUUGUAAAGCACUUUAAGUUGGGAGGCGUUACCAACAGAAGAAGCACCGGCUAACUUCGUGCCAGCAGCCGCGGUAAUAC